rnacentral:rRNA from 1 species
AUGGUGUACGGGCCGUGCGACAACAACGCCAAGCUUCUGUUUCUGGCAGACCUUGCUCGCAUCCGCUCUAUCACGCCUGGGCCGUGGGUGAUUAUAGGUCAUUUUAACCUCAUUUAUGAGGCGCGGGACAAGAACAACUCCAACCUCAACCUUCGGAUGAUGUCGUGUUUUCGUGACACGCUGAACCGUAGCGAGCUCAAGGAAAUAAAGCUAUCUGGUUGGCGGUUCACUUGGUCGAAUGAACAGGCAAACCCCACGUUGGUUCGCUUGGAUAGGGCGUUCUGCGACCCAGAUUGGGACCUUGGAUUCUCUAACUCUCGGCUGCUACCGAUUGCCACGGCCAUGUCUGAUCAUUGCCCCUUACUCCUGACCUGU